rnacentral:tRNA from 1 species
GCCUGACGGCUCAGUCGGUUGAGCAUCUGACUUCGGCUCAGGUCAUGAUCUCACGGUUCAUGGGUUCGAGCCCCGCGUCGGGCU